GUUUCAAACAAGACCGUACAUGUGACUUUCUUUUCUUAAACAAUCAAAUCAAUGUGCCUUUGUUACAGAGCACUGCGGAAGAUGGUUGAUAACAGUGGGAGUAAUUGGGAUAAAUUACUUGAACCCAUUUUGUUUUCUUUGCGAACUAAAAUACAUGCAACAACAAAAUUUUCACCUUUCCGACUAAUGUUUUGUGAUGACGCAGUGUUUCCAGAAGAUGUCUUAGAUAAUUACACGAUCCCAGAUCUGGAUAUGUUCGGGGAAGAUUUCUGCAAAGAAUACAGCAUGAAUAUGAAGUCGAGACAUGACGCUGGCCCUAAGUAACAUUGCUAAAGCACAAGAAAAACAACAAAGACAUUAUGCUAAAAGAAAGAUUUCUAAAUAUGGGGAAAUAACAUUUGAAGUUGGGGACUCUGUUCUGUUACUGAAUGCUAGACAGAGAACAAGAAAAGGAGGAGUAUUGGAAUCUAAAUAUCGGGGACCAUACAAAAUUAUGAGUGUUGAAGGUAAGAGAGUGAAAUUACAAACCAUCUCAGGGAAACAGUUAGGAACCAUGUACAGUAUUGCACACUUAAAACCAGUAAAAGAACCAACAACAUUAGCUGCUGAAAGCACAUCAGAGGGAAAAACUGGAACUGAAAUUGGAGUUGGUGACACUGAACCAGAAACACCCACGGAAGAGAUUAGAGAAAUGGAUGGCACUGUAUCUCUUGACAGCAAAGUGGAAAACAUAGAGGUCACAGCAAUAGAAAAAGAGGAAUAUAUAGGGCAAGAUGUGUCAAACAAUGAUACAAGUGAUGCUGAUGACAGCUUUGAUGACAUGCUUACAGAGGAAGUGGAGGACAAGCAAUGGCUUCUGAAAGUAAAAUUGUUAAUGACCAGCAAACACACAGAGAGACUAGAGGCCAAAGUGAGAAACAUAAAAUUAUAUGGCUCUUCAUUUCAUUGCCUGAAACCGAGAAGCUGGAUAAGUGAUGAGGUUAUUGAUGCAUUUUUGAGCUGUGUAGUUGAGAAAGCAGAUGGAAAGGUAGGCUAG
rnacentral:lncRNA from 1 species